rnacentral:rRNA from 1 species
AGAGUUUGAUCCUGGCUCAGAACGUACGCUGGCGGCACGCCUAACACAUGCAAGUCGAACGAAGUAGCAAUACUUAGUGGCAGACGGGUGAGUAACAUGUGGGUAUCUACCCUUUGGCCUGGAAUAACACGAGGAAACUUGUGCUAAUACCGGAUAAGUCUUUACGGAGAAAGCUUUAUGCACCAAUGGAUGAGCCCGCACUUGAUUAGUUUGUUGGUAGGGUAAUGGCCUACCAAGACUAUGAUCAAUAGCUGAUUUGAGAGGAUGAUCAGCCACAUUGGGACUGAGACACGGCCCAAACUCCUACGGGAGGCAGCAGUGGGGAAUCUUGCACAAUGGAGGAAACUCUGAUGCAGCGAUGCCGCGUGAGUGAAGAAGGCCCUUGGGUUGUAAAGCUCUUUCGUCGGGGAAGAAAAUGACUGUACCCGAAUAAGAAGGUCCGGCUAACUUCGUGCCAGCAGCCGCGGUAAUACGAAGGGACCUAGCGUAGUUCGGAAUUACUGGGCUUAAAGAGUUCGUAGGUGGUUGAAAAAGUUGGUGGUGAAAUCCCAGAGCUUAACUCUGGAACUGCCAUCAAAACUUUUCAGCUAGAGUAUGAUAGAGGAAAGCAGAAUUUCUAGUGUAGAGGUGAAAUUCGUAGAUAUUAGAAAGAAUACCAAUUGCGAAGGCAGCUUUCUGGAUCAUUACUGACACUGAGGAACGAAAGCAUGGGUAGCGAAGAGGAUUAGAUACCCUCGUAGUCCAUGCCGUAAACGAUGUGUGUUAGACGUUGGAAAU